UGCCUAUGUGUAGCUAGUGUCACUGGGUGUU
rnacentral:piRNA from 1 species